CGAGAGUCACUGAGGUUUUCAAGCUGGGCUCUGCUGUAUGUGGUUUCAGAUGCUCCUCCCCUCUUAAAUUAGGCUUUGGUUUACACAAGGGACUUGACUUUUCACAUUAUCCCUUAGCUAAGUCACUUUGACUCAACUGGAAGAGCACCAAAGAGACUGAGGCACAAUGUGAAGGCGCAGAGGUCUUCUGUGUCCAAGAGGAUGGAAGGCUUCUGUAGCAAGAGCAAUAAUUAACUGAAGUCUUGGUACAGGCGAUGUCUGUUUCACACCUGAUCUGUGUGGUUCCUGGGCAGAAAUUACAGCUGAAACAGUGGUGAAUCUCAACAGGAGAGCAGGUUUGUGCAUCUCCAGGCGAUAUCUGUGUGUUCCAGCAAGCCAAAGACUUCACUCAAAUGUAAGUUGAUAUAUUUCUAGCCAGUAGAAGUGAUUGCUCCCUGGGAACCUGCUGUGCAGUUCAUUUGUUCACUGAAACCUUUAUCAAGAGAGUGAAUGUGAUUUUCCAGACUUCUUGAUGUCCUCGGGAGAUAGCUUGAAUGGAGGCUUUCCAAGACACUGCAAUCUCAGCUAUUGCCCUUUGACAGCCGCAAAGAUAAAGAUACAUGAACCUUCUGCUCAAGGAAGCUCCCUCCUUUUGCACUGCUUCCUUGAGAUUAGCAUGCAGUCUGCUACUUCACAGCCUGAGGCUCCGUCCCCUGGAGAAGCAACUGGAGUUUCAUGAACAGCCUUAAUCACCCAUGAAAGUACUCUCUGACUUGUUUCUCCUCACCCACUUGGAACAAGGGCUUGUGUGGAGGUGUCCGAGCUCCACACAAGUGUGAGAAAGCAUCAGGGUGGAGCUGGCUGAUCUGCUCUGACUCAGAAAGCAAGAGGGAUGGAUCUCAUCUUGUUUAGACUAUCUAAACAAGUAGCUGUUGCUCAGGAGAGAUAAGAAGGCUGAGCUAAAACGAUGUUCCCUGGCAUGAUAACUCCUGAAACAGUGGAGCAUUUAUACAGGACUGUAAAGGAGCCAGGAAAUGCCACCAGCCUAGCUGUGAAUGUCCUGGUGAACUUCUUGGAACCCACAGCCAUAGUCUCAGCUCACUCCCUCUGGCAAGCAUCAGAGCCAAAUGGGAGAGAGGUCUCUAAGUGGGCCCUGCUGGGGAGCUCAAGGCUGCACAGACCUGAGAUGAGAAGGGCAUGUGGCAAUCAGCAAAGGUGGAAGGAGAAGUGAACUUCAGUGAUCUCUGGACCAUGUCCAUCCUGCAGGCUCUCCAACCUCAUCCCCCACAGCUUCUUCUGGGAGAAGGAGCUGGCCUUGUCAACUUGCCAUCAGGAUGCAGUUUCAGAGGCUUUCCUCAGAUGAAGUGUUGGGAAGGGUCCUGGUUUGGUAACCCAAAUUUAUGACUCUUGGACCUCAGAAGUCUCAGAGUCCUGGGGCUGACGAAUGCAGAUGAGACCUCUGUUCACCACAGGCAAUCUGCUGGUACAAGUGCUUCCAGAAGCCAGUUGUGCUUUGUCUUGGAAACGGUUGGGUUUGGGCUAUUUUGUGUCCACUUGUCCUCUUAAGAGAGUGCCUUGGGGACCUUCCCUUUCAGUUGUCAGGAAUGUGCUACAGAUUUCCAGCACAAAUGUAUCUGUGGCUGGCUUUUUCCUCAUUUGUUCUUGAGCCAGAGGACAGUGCUGGCACAAACAGCUCUUCUCCCUGCCUGUACUCUUCAAUGUUGAUUUGAAAUAAUCUUUCUUUGGCCUUGGGUUUCAGAGGGAUGCAUUU